rnacentral:rRNA from 1 species
GUACACUCCUACGGGAGGCAGCAGUGGGGAAUAUUGGACAAUGGGCGCAAGCCUGAUCCAGCCAUGCCGCGUGAGUGAUGAAGGCCCUAGGGUUGUAAAGCUCUUUCACCGGUGAAGAUAAUGACGGUAACCGGAGAAGAAGCCCCGGCUAACUUCGUGCCAGCAGCCGCGGUAAUACGAAGGGGGCUAGCGUUGUUCGGAUUUACUGGGCGUAAAGCGCACGUAGGCGGACUAUUAAGUCAGGGGUGAAAUCCCGGGGCUCAACCCCGGAACUGCCUUUGAGACUGGUAGUAUUGAGUUCGAGAGAGGUGAGUGGAAUUCCGAGUGUAGAGGUGAAAUUCGUAGAUAUUCGGAGGAACACCAGUGGCGAAGGCGGCUCACUGGCUCGAUACUGACGCUGAGGUGCGAAAGCGUGGGGAGCAAACAGGAUUAGAUACCCUAGUAGUCCCAUGAU